ACCUUGUGGAGGCGUAGCCAGGAGCGUG
rnacentral:sRNA from 1 species